UUUUAUAUAAUAAUAAUAAUAUAUAUAUAUAUAUAUUAUUAUAUUAGUUAUAUAAUAAGGAAAAGUAAAAAAUUUAUAAGAAUAUGAUGUUGGUUCAGAUUAAGCGCUAAAUAAGGACAUGACACAUGCGAAUCAUACGUUUAUUAUUGAUAAGAUAAUAAAUAUGUGGUGUAAACGUGAGUAAUUUUAUUAGGAAUUAAUGAACUAUAGAAUAAGCUAAAUACUUAAUAUAUUAUUAUAUAAAAAUAAUUUAUAUAAUAAAAAGGAUAUAUAUAUAAUAUAUAUUUAUCUAUAGUCAAGCCAAUAAUGGUUUAGGUAGUAGGUUUAUUAAGAGUUAAACCUAGCCAACGAUCCAUAAUCGAUAAUGAAAGUUAGAACGAUCACGUUGACUCUGAAAUAUAGUCAAUAUCUAUAAGAUACAGCAGUGAGGAAUAUUGGACAAUGAUCGAAAGAUUGAUCCAGUUACUUAUUAGGAUGAUAUAUAAAAAUAUUUUAUUUUAUUUAUAAAUAUUAAAUAUUUAUAAUAAUAAUAAUAAUAAUAUAUAUAUAUAAAUUGAUUAAAAAUAAAAUCCAUAAAUAAUUAAAAUAAUGAUAUUAAUUACCAUAUAUAUUUUUAUAUGGAUAUAUAUAUUAAUAAUAAUAUUAAUUUUAUUAUUAUUAAUAAUAUAUUUUAAUAGUCCUGACUAAUAUUUGUGCCAGCAGUCGCGGUAACACAAAGAGGGCGAGCGUUAAUCAUAAUGGUUUAAAGGAUCCGUAGAAUGAAUUAUAUAUUAUAAUUUAGAGUUAAUAAAAUAUAAUUAAAGAAUUAUAAUAGUAAAGAUGAAAUAAUAAUAAUAAUUAUAAGACUAAUAUAUGUGAAAAUAUUAAUUAAAUAUUAACUGACAUUGAGGGAUUAAAACUAGAGUAGCGAAACGGAUUCGAUACCCGUGUAGUUCUAGUAGUAAACUAUGAAUACAAUUAUUUAUAAUAUAUAUUAUAUAUAAAUAAUAAAUGAAAAUGAAAGUAUUCCACCUGAAGAGUACGUUAGCAAUAAUGAAACUCAAAACAAUAGACGGUUACAGACUUAAGCAGUGGAGCAUGUUAUUUAAUUCGAUAAUCCACGACUAACCUUACCAUAUUUUGAAUAUUAUAAUAAUUAUUAUAAUUAUUAUAUUACAGGCGUUACAUUGUUGUCUUUAGUUCGUGCUGCAAAGUUUUAGAUUAAGUUCAUAAACGAACAAAACUCCAUAUAUAUAAUUUUAAUUAUAUAUAAUUUUAUAUUAUUUAUUAAUAUAAAGAAAGGAAUUAAGACAAAUCAUAAUGAUCCUUAUAAUAUGGGUAAUAGACGUGCUAUAAUAAAAUGAUAAUAAAAUUAUAUAAAAUAUAUUUAAUUAUAUUUAAUUAAUAAUAUAAAACAUUUUAAUUUUUAAUAUAUUUUUUUAUUAUAUAUUAAUAUGAAUUAUAAUCUGAAAUUCGAUUAUAUGAAAAAAGAAUUGCUAGUAAUACGUAAAUUAGUAUGUUACGGUGAAUAUUCUAACUGUUUCGCACUAAUCACUCAUCACGCGUUGAAACAUAUUAUUAUCUUAUUAUUUAUAUAAUAUUUUUUAAUAAAUAUUAAUAAUUAUUAAUUUAUAUUUAUUUAUAUCAGAAAUAAUAUGAAUUAAUGCGAAGUUGAAAUACAGUUACCGUAGGGGAACCUGCGGUGGGCUUAUAAAUAUCUUAAAUAUUCUUACA
rnacentral:ncRNA from 1 species